CGUUAUAGAGCGUGCACAGAGCAAAUUAUUCUUUCGUCUUUUACCAAAGAAUACCGGAUGUACAUUACUUAGAGUAGUCUAUCCCAAUUUUUUAAAGAGCCUCUCCCUGUAAGUGAAAU